rnacentral:rRNA from 1 species
UACGUAGGGGGCAAGCGUUGUCCGGAUUCAUUGGGCGUAAAGAGCGUGUAGGCGGCCAGGUAGGUCGGUUGUGAAAACUGGAGGCUCAACCUUCAGAGGUCGACCGAAACCAUCUGGCUAGAGUCCGGUAGGGGAGCGUGGAAUUCCUGGUGUAGCGGUGAAAUGCGCAGAUAUCAGGAGGAACACCAGCGGCGAAGGCGGCGCUCUGGGCCGGAACUGACGCUGAGGAGCGAAAGCGUGGGUAGCAAACAGG